rnacentral:rRNA from 1 species
UCUGGCGACCGGCGCACGGGUGAGUAACACGUAUCCAACCUGCCCUUUACUCGGGGAUAGCCUUUCGAAAGAAAGAUUAAUACCCGAUAGCAUAAUGAUUCCGCAUGGUUUCAUUAUUAAAGGAUUCCGGUAAAGGAUGGGGAUGCGUUCCAUUAGGUUGUUGGUGAGGUGACGGCUCACCAAGCCUUCGAUGGAUAGGGGUUCUGAGAGGAAGGUCCCCCACAUUGGAACUGAGACACGGUCCAA